GCGAAAUAUUUAUUAAAAAAUCCCACGGUCCACACAAGGGGGAAAAACAACUUGAUGUGAGGCACAGCGCUUCCUCAGAAGUGUCAAGGCAACCUUUCCCUUUCCAGGACUCGGAGAGACCUGUGGUGACCAGCUCAGGAAUGGAGCUUCGUCUCUAAAGAUUUCUGUAAGUCCGACAAAUCUGCUACAGCCCAUCACUGCUGACCCGCCUGCUGGCAUCCCAGCCACAGGACUCUGUGUCCAGAGCAGAGCUCCCCUGGAGAUGUCUGCAGUGAGUCCUGGAGCCGCCUUGACGGGGGAGGAAAGACGGUGAGCAGGAUGCCACACUCUGAAGAGUUAUUGCAAGUUGAGGAGGCAAAGGCUUGCCUAGGAGGCUCCCUGGGGAAGGACGGAGAUCACAGGGUCAG
rnacentral:lncRNA from 1 species